rnacentral:lncRNA from 1 species
AUCAAGAUCUGGACUGCAGAGCACGUCUUUCACCACCCGUGGGAAACUGUUACAACAGCUGCAAUGCACAAAUACCCAAGCCCUGCGAACCUGAGCAGGGUGUGGGUUGAUGUGUUGGAAGGAUAUAUAGAUCCCUCUGGAAAGUUGCAAGGCCACAGACUUCUCUGCACAGAGUGGGAACUGCAAGUCCCUUACUGUUGCAGCAAGAGCCAAAACAUAGUCUUCAGGACCCAGAAAAAAAACUAUUUUGACUCAAGAAACCACAAUCAUUGUGAAAAGAAUCAGCCUCAGCAGUUACCUUGAAGAACUGAAGACAAGUACAAUAUCUUCAAAUGCUAAUAAAGGCUGAGAAGCACUGGAAUGGGUAAUACUUAAACUACAUGUUAAGAUUGAGAAAUUGCUGGCUUCAAAAAGAGGAAGCAUAAGAACUCGGAUAGUAGCAGCAUCAUUUACAGAGAAA